rnacentral:tRNA from 1 species
UAAUUGAAACCAAAAAGAGGUAUAUCACUGUUAAUGAUAUCAUUGAGAAUAAUCUCCAAUUAAAG